GUUCUUUUGGCCUCGUGUC
rnacentral:miRNA from 1 species